AACGAACGCUGGCGGCAUGCCUAACACAUGCAAGUCGAACGAGACCUUCGGGUCUAGUGGCGCACGGGUGCGUAACGCGUGGGAAUCUGCCCUUGGGUUCGGAAUAACAGUGAGAAAUUACUGCUAAUACCGGAUGAUGUCUUCGGACCAAAGAUUUAUCGCCCAGGGAUGAGCCCGCGUAGGAUUAGCUAGUUGGUGGGGUAAUGGCCUACCAAGGCGACGAUCCUUAGCUGGUCUGAGAGGAUGAUCAGCCACACUGGGACUGAGACA
rnacentral:rRNA from 1 species